CAAACACAAAAGUUUGAAAUCGCUGGCUAAAGCUAAAACUAGUCACGAGCAAAUGUUCCUUUUUUUCUCUUCAAACAACAAAACUUCCCUCUCUUCUUCUUCAUUCCUCAUCCAUGGCUUCUUCUUCUUCACCAUCCAUUGAUUCUCUCGACCAAGAAAGACCACCCAGCAUUGAAUCCAUACAGACAAUUGUCCACUCAAUAACCCACCACAUUCAAACAUUCCUCUCCACUCCCAAAUCAAGAAGACGAGUCAAAACCAACUGCACAUCCAAGCUCAACAAUCUCAAGCAAGAUUUCUUUGAAUUCUCAGAGCAAUCUGUUCUCUCCAAUCUAUAUUGGGGAAUUCAAGGUAUUGAAGCUGCCAUUAUUGCUAAAUGCCCGGAAGAGUUAUCCAACAGGCUGAAGAACUCUGAGGAAAUGCUUCAAGCACCCGCCUUGCUCGAAGAGCAUGGCGUCACUGCCGGAGUUUCCAAUGCUUUUUUGGUUUCUUGCUCUUAUUUUUAUCUCUCUGCUGUGAGGAAACUCCAGGGAGAUAAUUGGCAGUCAGCACUUCAUUUCCUUCAAGCUCUUUCUGUAUCUCCCAUAUUCACACGAACGGAAUUCGCACCUGAACUUUGCACGAGUUUACUAAUGAGUUCAAGAAGCUCGGAGAUUAUGGACGAUGAUGAUGAUGAAAUUAAUAAAUUGUUGAGACGUAUGGCAAGGAGAUACAAGGCUUGGUUGACGUAUUAUCAGGUUAUGUCAUACAAAGGGAGUCCUCAUCAGCAUCAGCAAGAGGAGGAGGAGGAGGAAGAAGAUGAAUUGCUACUGAAUAACAACAAAUCUGUAAAUACCCAAUCUUCAAAUUCACGUGAACUUGAAAAUAUCUUCCAAGGCCCUCAUAAGGUUCAAGAACUUACAGUUACUCUUCUGGAAAGCACUCAAGUUAGCAGUGGAGGAAUUUCAAGCAGCUCAAAUACUGGACGGCUUGGAGAUAUAUUGAAAGAAAAUCAGUCAGACGUAUCGGUUUCUGGAGAUUCAAACGACAGUUACUUCAAAGAAGAUGUUGGUUUUGAAUUAACUUCUCAAAAGAUAAAAGGUGCAAGUGCAAGUGCAACCACCUCUGAAAGAUACUUCAGUUCCUUCAGCCUUUCAGAAUUACCUAUCUUUGAUCUCAAAUGUAAAAGACAAUAUCCCUCUGAGAAUAGUGUCCACAGGGACGAGAAACUACUUGAAAAGAUGCUGCAGCAAAAUGAUGCCCAAAUCUUUGAUUCUCAAUCAUCAUCAUCAUCCAUAAUGCAGCGUAAAACAAGUGGACGUGACCUGCAACAACACGGAAAAGAUUCCCAAUAUGAGUUAAUGACAAUACUCGAGAAAACAGUUUCAAAGCUAUGCUUCUCCAAUGAGAAGCUGAAAUUCGACGAAGAUUACUCCUUCGAGUUUGUGAGAAUAUACGGACUCUUAAGCAAAAAGAAAGGAGUAAAAUAUACCCUCCUAAAAGAUGUAAUCUUGAAUCAGUUAUUAACAGCUAUCUCAACUUCUGAGGAAGUGGCACUUGUAAGGGCAUCAGUUUCCAUACUUACAACCCUUGUUUCAGGGAACAAAUCAGUAAUAGAAGACGUUAAGAAGAAGGGAUUGCAGUUACAUGAUUUGGCAAAUGCAUUGAAAAGAAACGUGCAUGAAGCAGUUAUUCUGAUUUACUUAACAAAUCCAUCUCCUGUAGAAAUAAAGACUUUGGAACUUCUACCUUCAUUGCUAGAUAUUGUAUGCACUAAUUCAAACACUUGCUGUAAAGGAAGGCUAGAUUCAUUAUUGCCAACUCCACCUGCAGCAUCAUUGAUGAUCAUUGAAGUACUAGUUACUGGGUUCGAUUAUGCUACAAAUAAAAGGCACCUGGCUGCGAUUAAUGUACCGAGAGUACUAGCUGGGCUGCUCGAUAUACAAAGAUAUAAUAAUACGAAAGAAUAUACCUCUUUGGCUACUAUUCUAGUAAGGUGUAUGCAGUUUGAUGGGCAAUGUAGAAAAUAUAUAUCAGAGUUUACUCCUGUAGCUCCAUUUUUAUAUCUCCUGAGCAGUAGUCAAGAGCAUGCAAGGUCCAUUGCUCUCGAGUAUUUCCAUGAACUUCUCCAAAUGCCACGGUCAUCAGCGAAUAAGCUGUUAAGACGAAUGCUUACAGAAGGAAGCAUUAAUACAAUGCACACCCUAAUGCUCCUCAUCCAGAAAUCACAACAUGAACACAAACUUCUUUCAGCGUUUUUGUUGCUUCAAUUAGACAUGCUGGAAAGCUCGUCAGGUAAGAGUAUAUACAGGGAAGAGGCGCUUGAACACCUCCUCGAACCAUUGAAAUCCAGCCCAGGAUCUGCAGGCCAGCAAUUAUCUGCUUUCCUUAUGUCAAGUCUUGGUGGAACCUACUCAUGGACAGGAGAACCAUAUACUGUAGCUUGGUUGCUAAAGAAGACUGGUCUAACCACCUGCCAUCACCGAAACAUGAUAAGGAAUUUCAAUUGGCUAGAUGAAAGCAUGCAGGAUGCUGCCACAGAUUUAUGGUGCAGAAAGAUAGCAAGAAUUCUUAUUAAAACUGGGGUGCCAGUCUUCCGUGCUCUUGAAAAUGGCCUUAAGAGUGGGACAAAAAAGGUUUCUCGAGACUGCCUGGCUGCCAUGGCUUGGAUUGGAUGUGAAAUUGGUAAUUGUCCAGAGGAUUUAAGACAUGAGGCAUGUGAUAUUCUUCUGCGUAGUGAAGUCCAACAGUUCUUGCAUCCUGGAGUGGAGCUUGAAGAAAGACUUCUAGCAUGUCUAUGUAUCUACAGCUAUGCUUCUGGUAAAGGGAUGCAGAAGCUUAUUCAUUUCUCUGAAGGAGUAAGAGAGUCACUCAGACGACUGUCUACCAUAACAUGGAUGGCAGAGGAAUUACUGAGGGUUGCAGAUUAUUUCCAUCCCAAUAAAUGGCGGAUUUCCUGUGUCCACACACAAGUGGUGGAGGCUGGUCAAAAAAAUAAUGGAGCUGUAACCGCUCUUAUCUAUUACAAGGGACAGCUUUAUAGUGGAUACAAUGAUGGGUCAAUAAAGGGGUGGGAGAUCAAGGGACAAACAGCCACUCUCAUAUCAGAUAUGAAGGAACAUAGAAAGGCAAUAACAUGUUUAUCCCUUUUUGAAGCAGGAGAUUGCUUAUUGAGUGCAUCCAUGGAUAGAACCAUUAGGAUGUGGCAAAUGGUACAAAGCAAGUUGGAAUGCAUUGAAGUAAUAGGAACAAAGGAACCUAUUCAGAGUUUAGACUCUUACAGAAAACAGAUUCUUGGUAUUUCAUUAAGCCAUGAGAUGAAGGUAUUUGAUACAUCAUCAACUGAAAGAGAAGUUACCAUGGCCAAAAAUGUUAAGUGUCUUAGAGUUGUCCGUGGAAAGGUUUACAUAGGUUGCAUGGAUUCAAGCAUACGGGAAAUAGAUCUAAGUAAAAACAAGGAGCGAGAGAUAAAAGCGCCAUUUAAAGUUUGGAGGAUGCAAAGUAGGCCAAUUAGUUCAAUUGCAGUUUAUAAAGAUUUGUUAUAUUGUUCAAGUCUAACAGUUGAAGGUUCAAGCAUCAAGGAAUGGAGGAGACAAAGCAAGCCGCGUAUAACAAUAGUACCAGAAGGAGGAACUCAUGUGCGGGCAAUGGAAAUUGUCGAGGACUUCAUAUACUUAAACUGCAACCAGUCACCUAGUACCCUUCAGAUUUGGCUGAGAGGGACACAACAAAAAGUAGGAAGAAUAUCUGCUGGAAAAAAGAUUACCAGCCUACUGGCUGCAAAUGAUAUGAUCCUUUGUGGUACAGAGACAGGAGUUAUCAAGGGUUGGAUUCCGCUCUAGCAGUACAUAUUCAACUCAGAUAUAAUGAAAAAUCAAUAGAGAUGGAUAUACAAUUUAAAGUGAUGUGUAGCUAAUUAAACUGAUAAAGAUCUGCCAUUGGAAGUAUAAUCAACAAAUUGAUAAGAGAAUUCACAUUCAAAAUGACGACGAAGGAACAUAUGGUUGAAGAUUACAUGUCUAAGAAUAGUUUAGCUGAAAAGAAGAUCUGACAUCAAAUUUUCAAUGAUCAGCCAGCGUAAAUUCAAAGCUUCUUAGCAAUUCAGCUAGAUGGAUAGAGAUAAUGAAAGAUUUAAAGAUGAUUGAAGAGUCGGAUACACACCUGCUGCCCGUAGGCAGAUGAAGAAAAGCGCGCGCAAGGUUAUGACAAUUGAAAGCACAAGAACUAUAUAUAUAUAUAUAUAUAUACUAGCACGAGUAAUAUGCAGAAAAAAAUUGUGAUAUUUUUCGUUUGUGAUAAAAUAAUUUCUAAAGAAAUUUAUUUAUUUUGUAUA